rnacentral:rRNA from 1 species
CGGGUGAGUAACACGUAGGUAAUCUACCUUUGGAUGGGGAAUAACAACCGGAAACGGUUGCUAAUACCGCAUAAUGCAGCGGCACCUAAUGGUGACAGUUGUUAAAGCGGGGGAUCGCAAGACCUCGCGUCUGAAGAGGAGCCUGCGGCAGAUUAGCUAGUUGGUAAGGUAACGGCUUACCAAGGCGAUGAUCUGUAGCCGGCCUGAGAGGGCGGUCGGCCACACUGACACUGACAUACGGGUCAGACUCCUACGGGAGGCAGCAGUCGGGAAUUUUGGGCAAUGGGCGAAAGCCUGACCCAGCAACGCCGCGUGAAGGAUGAAAUCCCUCGGGAUGUAAACUUCGCAAGAACGGGAAGAAUAAACCGGUGUAAAUACCACCGGCGAUGACGGUACUGUUUGUAAGCUCCGGCUAACUCCGUGCCAGCAGCCGCGGUAAUACGGGGGGAGCAAGCGUUGUUCGGAUUUACUGGGCGUAAAGGGCGCGUAGGCGGCCACCGCAAGUCGACUGUGAAAUCUCCGGGCUUAACCCGGAACGGUCAGCCGAUACUGCGGGGCUAGAGUGCAGAAGGGGCAACUGGAAUUCUCGGUGUAGCGGUGAAAUGCGUAGAUAUCGAGAGGAAC